CAGGCCUACGGGGCGCAGCAGUGAGGAAUAUUGGUCAAUGGACGCAAGCCUGACCCAGCAACGCCGCGUGAAGGAAGAAGGCCCUCGGGUUGUAAACUUCUUUUAUUCGGGACGAAACAAAUGACGGUACCGAAUGAAUAAGCCACGGCUAACUACGUGCCAGCAGCCGCGGUAAUACGUAGGUGGCAAGCGUUAUCCGGAUUUACUGGGUGUAAAGGGCGUGUAGGCGGGAGAGCAAGUCAGACGUGAAAUUCCAGGGCUCAACCCUGGAACUGCGUUUGAAACUGUUCUUCUUGAGUGAUGGG
rnacentral:rRNA from 1 species